AGAUUUUGGCCCAUUUAGCUCACCAGAAUCAAUAUUUAAAAUCAUUUAUAUAUUUGGUCAUCAAAAACUUGGCAGAAGGAAAGCAGAAUUUUGUGGCUUUUUUUUGUCUGUCUCAAUGGAGCUGCUAAUAUGCUCUGUGGUGUUCCUGUGGGGGAAACCUCAUUUCCUGAUUGCAUUUGGUGCCUGUCAAGCUGACUAUGCUUUCAUCUUGACACCUACAUUCUACCUUUUAACUUCCAUACUGUUUGCUCGGGCAUCUGCUUGUACAUGGGCAAUCUUUGGCUUACGCUACCCACACUUUUCCAAUAUUAAUUAUCUCUGCAUUGACUCUCGGUACAGAGAGGGCAUUGACAUUUUGAGGCAAGAGAAUUAUUUUUAGGUCAUUCUUCUAGCAUUUAAGGCAAUAAUCACAGUAGAAAGUUUCUUUUUAGAUUUAGAUUUAAAUAAUCUGACAUUGAUUAAUGGUAACAUGUGGGAUAAAUGUAGAAGCAGCUUUUACAGUGUUUUCAACCUGGAUGCCAACAUCAUAGAAUGCAUUUUAAUUAUCCCCUUUUCACUCUCUACCGUCCUUUUGCUGAUACCAUGGUCCAAGUGAAACAUGGACCUUUCACUAUCAUUUUAACUUGGUGUAACUGCCCUCCAAUCUAGCUUGAUUUGUGGAAUGAAAGGGUUUGGCUUUGUCUACCCAAGGAAUUUAGUAACAAAAUGAAACAAAUCAAACUCACUUGUCUUGAGAAGGAAGUUUCCCUCUUGUCUCUCUUCAGUGAGUUGCUAAAGACUAAACAAAGGAACAGUGUUUAUCUGUGUCCACAAAAUGCGGACUUAACCUCUCUAAUUUCUGAUUCGUUAAGUGUAUUGAGUCAGGAACAAAUGGCAUAUGUAAUAAGUCUUGGUCAGUUUAGAAAACGCACAUGUAAAAAAAAAUCAGAAGUGAUUAUAUUCAGAAGAUGGUGAACUUUCAUUAAAGAAAAGUCUACCGUCAACAUGACAUUGUCUUGCUACGUUGAAACAUAAUACAUCAUUUAGGGAGCAUGAGGCAAACCCAUAGUUUUGGUGAUGAGAAUUCGCUGUAAUCACUUGAGGUAUGAAUUUAGUGAGUGGGACUAUGGUUUCCCAGAUCCUGGUUGACUAAGGAAAAGUGUCUUUCCUCUAGUUUACAUCGCAAAGUAACCGCCUUGAAAUCUGUACUACAAGCUGGCGUCUUAUUCCCCUUCCACACAGCUCAGUUGCCGAUGAAGCUAAAUAAAGAGCCCUGUGAAAUGUCCUGACUCUAACACGCUCCAAGUACCACUCAGUCAUGUAAACCCCUGUCCUUCCCUGUAUUUACCUUUAUUAACUUUACUAGUAUAGGCCUCAUUGGUUAGAUUCAGAGUGUUUUUCUUUUUUUCUCCACUUUUGAGAGUCAACUGUGCUUUCCCUCAAAAUUACAGACCUAACUUAAGAAUAUAGAAAAGAUAUUAUUUCUUAUAAGGAGAUAGGCUCAAAACAUGCGUUUUCUACCUCUAAUCAAAAGCAUUUUACUUGUUGAGAAAGCCCAGAAGAACAUCUUUUUAUGAUGCUUUCCAAAUUUCACUUGGCCCUGUUUGUUUGGACAGGAAUCUGUUAUGGGCUUCAGGGGAUUGCAAUCCGUAUAGAACACAGAUAAUUCUUGUUUUCCUGGAGAGAACCUCUCAGUUUCACCACUAAAUCCGAUAUUACGAACAUGCAGCGAUGACUUAUCCUCUGCAGCCUCAUUCUGCCACGGUCGCCUUUGCCAUCAAGCUUUUAGUGUUAAGCCUGGUCCUCGUUGCCAGCUCUCACACNNNNNNNNNNNNNNNNNNNNNNNNNNNNNNNNNNNNNNNNNNNNNNNNNNNNNNNNNNNNNNNNNNNNNNNNNNNNNNNNNNNNNNNNNNNNNNNNNNNGUGUUAAGCCUGGUCCUCGUUGCCAGCUCUCACACUCCUCCCUUUGUCUCUUUAUCAAGCGCUCUUCUUCACAGCUUUUUCAUUUACUCAUCCCUUUUUCUGGAUCAUCAUAUACCAGGUGUUUGAAUAACAUUUCUUAAUAUUAUUAAAAAUUAAGCUCAACUAUAAUCCCCUUGCCCUAUAUCUCCAUUCUCCAUGUUUUGGUUUUUCAUCACGCUUGGCACUGUCCAGAACCAUGAUGGCUAU
ensembl:lncRNA